ACAACAACAUUAGGACCGUCGGUCUACCGAGCAAUAUCACCCGCACGGUGGAAGAUCUUCCCUUUGUCGUAUAUC
rnacentral:pre_miRNA from 1 species